AGUGAACGCUGGCGGUAGGCCUAACACAUGCAAGUCGAACGGCAGCACAGUAAGAGCUUGCUCUUACGGGUGGCGAGUGGCGGACGGGUGAGGAAUACAUCGGAAUCUACUUUUUCGUGGGGGAUAACGUAGGGAAACUUACGCUAAUACCGCAUACGACCUACGGGUGAAAGCAGGGGAUCUUCGGACCUUGCGCGAUUGAAUGAGCCGAUGUCGGAUUAGCUAGUUGGCGGGGUAAAGGCCCACCAAGGCGACGAUCCGUAGCUGGUCUGAGAGGAUGAUCAGCCACACUGGAACUGAGACACGGUCCAGACGCCAACGGGAGGCAGCAGUGGGGAAUAUUGGACAAUGGGCGCAAGCCUGAUCCAGCCAUACCGCGUGGGUGAAGAAGGCCUUCGGGUUGUAAAGCCCUUUUGUUGGGAAAGAAAAGCAGCAGGUUAAUACCCCGCUGUUCUGACGGUACCCAAAGAAUAAGCACCGGCUAACUUCGUG
rnacentral:rRNA from 1 species